rnacentral:rRNA from 1 species
UACUCCCGCCGGCGACCGGCGCACGGGUGAGUAACACGUAUGAAACCUGCCCGUAGCAGGGGGAUAAGCGGAAGAAAUUCCGUCUAAUACCGCGUAACAACCCGAGGAGGCAUCUCCUCGGGUUUAAAGGAAGCGAUUCCGGCUACGGAUGGUCAUGCGUCGCAUUAGCUAGUUGGCGGGGUAACGGCCCACCAAGGCGACGAUGCGUAGGGGCUCUGAGAGGAAGGUCCCCCACACUGGUACUGAGACACGGACCAGACUCCUACGGGAGGCAGCAG